rnacentral:ribozyme from 1 species
UGAUAACAGAGGAGAAAGAAAAAGAAAAGGGGGGGAAAAAACAGUCACAUACUGCAAUUUUCUGUCACAUAAUACAUUUUUCUCCCUUUUUCUCGUCCUACAUUUAGCAUUUGUGAACUGGACAUCCCAUGAAUGUGUGUUUUGAAAAAAACAGCGAA